rnacentral:rRNA from 1 species
ACGCUCGACACCUACGGGACGCAGCAGUGGGGAAUAUUGCACAAUGGGGGAAACCCUGAUGCAGCGACGCCGCGUGAGCGAAGAAGUAUUUCGGUAUGUAAAGCUCUAUCAGCAGGGAAGAUCAUGACGGUACCUGACUAAGAAGCUCCGGCUAAAUACGUGCCAGCAGCCGCGGUAAUCUGAGCGGGCUGGCAAGGC